UACGUAGGGCGCAAGCGUUGUCCGGAAUUAUUGGGCGUAAAGAGCUCGUAGGUGGCUUGUUGCGUCUGCCGUGAAAGCCCGUGGCUUAACUGCGGGUCUGCGGUGGACACGGGCAGGCUAGAGGCUGGUAGGGGCAAGCGGAAUUCCUGGUGUAGCGGUGAAAUGCGCAGAUAUCAGGAGGAACACCGGUGGCGAAGGCGGCUUGCUGGGCCAGUUCUGACGCUGAGGAGCGAAAGCGUGGGGAGCGAACAGG
rnacentral:rRNA from 1 species